UACGUAGGGUGCAAGCGUUGUCCGGAAUUAUUGGGCGUAAAGAGCUCGUAGGCGGUCUGUCGCGUCUGCUGUGAAAACCCGGGGCUCAACCCCGGGCUGCAGUGGAUACGGGCAGACUAGAGUUCGGUAGGGGAGACUGGAAUUCCUGGUGUAGCGGUGAAAUGCGCAGAUAUCAGGAGGAACACCGGUGGCGAAGGCGGGUCUCUGGGCCGAUACUGACGCUGAGGAGCGAAAGCGUGGGGAGCGAACAGG
rnacentral:rRNA from 1 species